rnacentral:lncRNA from 1 species
AUUUUUACCAUGGACUCCUUGACCCACUCAGUUUCUUAAAAAGGACUCCAAACUGCUUGCCCACUGCACAUCGCCCCCCUUUCAGCGGAAGUAGCAAGAACGGUCAUUGCCCUUUUCCCUUACGGCAGUUGGAGGUCCCUAAUAUUAGAGGAAAAAUUAUGGUCGAUAUAGAUGUUCGCCAAUAUGUCUAGCUCAGAAAGAUGUACCUGGAAAACUACUCCCAAGAUCACCCUGGGUGAUCUCCCAGAAAGAGACACUUGCUUCCACAACCCAACUUAUAAGUGGAACAACACCCUGUUCACCAAAAAUUGUGCUUCCUGGAUCCCACUUUGAACUCCUUGACUAAAUCUCCAAACUGUCAAUAACUCUGAACUAUGUAACCUAUUAUUUUGAUGGAGUAAAAGGAAAAGAACACCUGGACUUAUUAAAAGGCCAGGGCCCACUGAUUUAUCAACAUAGACUGGCUACCCCCAUUUUAGUUCCCCUCCUGGCUGGUAUCUACUGCUUUGGGAACUACAACUCUUAUCACAGGCCCUAAAAAUUUUA